rnacentral:snRNA from 1 species
AUCGCUUCUCAGCUUUUUGGCUAAGAUCAAGUGUAGUAUCUGUUCUUAUCAGUUUAAUGGUUAUCUCUUACCUCUCAUCAAAGUUUUUUAAAAAAAGGGAGUGUAUGUGAGAAUCAUAU